rnacentral:hammerhead_ribozyme from 1 species
AUCCAGCCGACGAGUCCCAAACAGGAUGAAACGCGCGUCCUGAAU